rnacentral:rRNA from 1 species
UGGGGAAUAUUGGACAAUGGGCGCAAGCCUGAUCCAGCAAUGCCGCGUGAGUGAUGAAGGCCUUAGGGUUGUAAAGCUCUUUUGGCGGGGACGAUGAUGACGGUACCCGCAGAAUAAGCCCCGGCUAACUUCGUGCCAGCAGCCGCGGUAAUACGAAGGGGGCUAGCGUUGUUCGGAAUGACUGGGCGUAAAGGGCGCGUAGGCGGCUGAUCAAGUCAGAGGUGAAAUCCCCGGGCUCAACCCGGGAAUUGCCUUUGAGACUGGUCGGCUUGAGAGCGGGAGAGGUGAGUGGAAUUCCCAGUGUAGAGGUGAAAUUCGUAGAUAUUGGGAAGAACACCAGUGGCGAAGGCGGCUCACUGGCCCGUUUCUGACGCUGAGGCGCGAAAGCGUGGGGAGCAAA